AGAUUGAAAGCAGGACCUUUGCACUGAGCUACGUCCUCAGUACUCUGUAUUUUGAGACAGAGGCUCCCUAAGUCACUCAGCUGCUCAAGUUGAACUCAAACUUGCAGUCCUCUUGCAUCAGCAUCCCAGGGUACUGGGAUUAGAGCACACAGCUAAAAUCCUGGGAAUCUCUGGAGUGAUACAGAAUGGCUUUUCUACAUUAACAAGUUGACUGAUGACAGCUGCCAGUCCCUGGUACCUUUAGGAUGGAGCCAGGUCACCAAAGACCAAGGCUUGAUUAGAGGAUUGGAACUCUCAGGCCCAUCUUCCAAAUUCUUGGAGAAGAAGAGGGGUUGAAAGUUCAGCUGGUCACCACUGCCCAAUGAUUUAACCAAUCAUGCCUAUGUAAUUAAGGCUCCAUUAAAAUCCAAGUCAGGAUUUGGAAAGCUU